CUUCUUCCUGCUCUGGACAUUCACUUGAAUUAUAACCUUCCUCUUUUUCAGCUCACAAGGAGCCAGCUACUUUUGCUUCUUUUUAGUCCUGGCUGAUGACUGUACAGCUGUCGAUGCUACUGUGCUGCCUCUGAUGCUUCUUCCUUCAUGCUGUCAGCUCAAAAGACCACUCGUCUUGGGCUGAAUGUUAAAAUGCCCGAACAAUCUGCUUCUACAACUUAAGAACAGGUACAUGACUGAAACACAAGCAAAAUCUGUUGCCAACACAAACACAGAAAAUUUCCAGCAUUCGGCGUGCCUGGCUUCUCCAGAAGGUAACAGGACCUGAUCAUCUUGGGCCCCAUGCUGUGAAAGAUGCCAAUAUGUGGGAGCUCAUAGUUUAUCCUGCCUCUCCACACCCUGGGAGCCUCCC
rnacentral:lncRNA from 1 species